UAUACUGAACGCAAAAUACUGUUGUGUGCAUGAGCCCUUAUACCGAGUCUGGUAUUUGGCAGGAGCGAUUUGAAGUAAAUGCAUAAAAGAACAUGUGUUGUGCUAAAGAGAUGCAAGAAAUCCUUGAUUAAUAAGAUGUCAGAAAAGGUAUCUGUCAGAGGCCUAUCCCUCUUCCCAUGGUAGUAACCAUGCAUGGUCUGAGCGUGCAGGUUUAUGGAAUAACCUGGGAGAUGGCUGCUUUAUUAGAGUUUAUUCAUCUUAACUGCUUGGUAUUGCAGCUCAGCUCUAUUGACUUGAAUGGGGCUGAGCUGCAGCUAGGCAAUGCCGAUGUAUGGUGAUGUCACAUGGACUAGGAAGAGGCGGUGGUGCUCACGGAGCCCCGGCCUCUUCUAAAAGCUGAUUGGUAGGGGUCCUGGGUGGCGGAGCCAAACUGACCUGAUAUUGUUGACCUACCCUGAGUAAAGGUCAUCAAUAUAAAUUCCCAGAUAACCCCUUUAAUGAUUUGAAUCACAUUAAUUAGAAUCAAAAUCUAAACCAUUUACCUGGUCUUGAAGCCAAUUUGCCGAAACACCUUUUAGUAGAGGGAGCAACAAUGUGACAGUAGCUGGAAAAUGGCAAUGUUGAGCUGUAAAUUCUGUCAUGCUUUAGGUCUGUUUGCAGUAUAUUUCAUAUUGUUUGCAUUCAAAUGGAAGCCAAAGUUUCUCUUUAUAUUGUAUUUUUUUAAUGUUUUUUUAAUUUACAUAUUAUGCAGUUAUUUUAAUAUGUGGCUUUAGUAAGGAUAAGCAACAUUUGCACUAUAUGAACUUAUUUGUAUGCUUGUACACUGUUAUUAGCAAACUGUUAAUAUUCUUUCUUGACCAUUGUUGUUUUUCAAUAAAAUGGUCUUGUGUCUCUGGAGUUA